rnacentral:rRNA from 1 species
AGAGUUUGAUCAUGGCUCAGAAUCAACGCUGGCGGCGCGCUUAACACAUGCAAGUCGCACGAGAAAGCGGGAGCAAUCUCGCAAGUACAGUGGCGUACGGGUGAGUAACACGUGGGUAAUCUACCUCAUAGUGGGGAAUAACGCUGGGAAACCGGCGCUAAUACCGCAUAAGCUCGAGAGAGGAAAGCAGCAAUGCGCUGUGAGAGGAGCCCGCGGCCGAUUAGCUGGUUGGUAGGGUAAAAGCCUACCAAGGCAAAGAUCGGUAGCCGGCCUGAGAGGGCACACGGCCACACUGGCACUGAAACACGGGCCAGACUCCUACGGGAGGCAGCAGUGGGGAAUCUUGCACAAUGGGGGCAACCCUGAUGCAGCGACGCCGCGUGAGCGAUGAAGCCCUUCGGGGUGUAAAGCUCUUUCGGCAGGGACGAUAAUGACGGUACCUGCAGAAGCAGCUGCGGCUAACUACGUGCCAGCAGCCGCGGUAAUACGUAGGCAGCGAGCGUUGUUCGGAGUUACUGGGCGUAAAGGGUGUGUAGGCGGUUUUCUAAGUUUGGUGUGAAAUCUCCCGGCUCAACCGGGAGGUGCGCCGAAAACUGGGAGACUAGAGUGCGGGAUGGGAGAGUAGAAUUCCUGGUGUAGCGGUGAAAUGCGUAGAUAUCAGGAGGAAUACCGGUGGUGUAGACGGCUCUCUGGACCGCCACUGACGCUGAGACACGAAAGCGUGGGUAGCAAACAGGAUUAGAUACCCUAGUAGUCC